AUCGUCCCCCAAACUCCAUCGUGAAAGAUCUCAACACGGCCCUCGGAGUAUUCCUGGCCACCAGCCAGCCUGAUAUAACCUUCUUCAUAGGCUAAAGGAACAAAAAUUUAGUGUAAUCGUUUCGUUUGGGAUUUAUGGUGAAAGAUCAUGUACACUGUAAAAUGUAAUAUUGUGUUUAAUUAAAAAUAUUAAAUAGGCUGAACUCAAUUUUUAUCAAUUUGUUAUUAGAACUCAAUUUAAAUAAGUUACCAGUACUUUUUAUGCAAAAAUGCUGAUAAACUCGAUUAAUUUGAGUUGUCCUAACUUAGAAAAACUAAGUAAGCUGGAAGUUUUGCUUCUCAGGGCGGAAGGAUGAAAGAUGUUUUGAAAAUGCCACGUGACUGCCGUUCUCCUCCCUCCCGGAUCAGUCCGCAUGUUCAUGGCACCAGCAUUUGUUAUGGAAUAUAUUGAGCAAACCUGGAGAUAUUAUUGUUGUCAUUGCUGUGGAUCUUUACUGACUUGGCUCGGGACCAGCACUCCUGUUGUUGGACAGAAAGACAUCAACUCAGUGGUAAGUAUUUUUGGUUUUCCAAUAUAUUAGCAACUGUCAGUGACAUUUAUAUUAAUCAGGCUGAACUUUAAUCAUACUUUAGAUCAGCCUGUCUUACUUAUUGUUUUAUUUGUGCUUUGGUUUGGGGAAGUUGUUUCUUUACUGAUCUUUUCCUGUCUUCUGUUAUUAGACUUGAGAUAUGACUGCACUAUGCUGUUGCUGUGACUCCAGUUAAUUCUACAAGACAUGCUGUGACACCAGGAGAGAUGAGUCCUCCGUCACAGAUGGUGUGGUCAGUGAAGAUGGUCGCCUGCAGGUUCAAGCUCAUUGCAUCUCCAACCCACAUCCACUGCGACUGUACUUAAGGGAAGUUAAAGACUUUCUUCUGCACUUACAUUUGGAUCACCUCGAUCCAUGAUAGUCAUUCAGGCAGUAAUGCCUGGACUGGAAACAAGCCAUCCUUAAAAUAUUACAACAUUCCAGCUCCUGUGUUGGAAUGAAAAACGAAUGUGUUGUUUAAAUUAGAGACUGCACUUGUGACAGAACAAUAAAUAUUUUAUGUUGAUUAUAUAAAUAAUGUAAGUACAAAACAAACUUGUGGUAGGCCUAAACUUAUUUUCAGAAUAAUUACAUCUAAGACUUUGUUUCAUUGUAAGAUUAUAACAGUGAUGGCAAUAUCAUUUUUAUUCAGCAGAACAGUGUCCAGUAUGUUGGCUGUU